rnacentral:rRNA from 1 species
ACGGCUCAGUAACACGUGGAUAAUCUGCCCUUAGGUGGAGGAUAACCUCGGGAAACUGAGAAUAAUACUCCAUAGAUCUAGGAUGCUGGAAUGCAUCUAGGUUGAAAGUUCCGGCGCCUAAGGAUGAGUCUGCGGACUAUCAGGCUGCUAACCUAUGACGGAUACGGGUUGUGAGAGCAAUAACCCGGAGACGAUAUCUGAGACACGAUAUCGGGCCCUACGGGGCGCAGCAGGCGCGAAACCUUCACACUGUGCGAAAGCGCGAUGAGGGAAUCCCAAGUGCUUGCACGUAAGUGUAAGCUGUUUCUGUGUCUAAAAAGCAUAGAGAGUAAGGGCUGGGUAAGACGGGUGCCAGCCGCCGCGGUAAUACCUGCAGCUCAAGUGGUGACCGCUAUUAUUGGGCCUAAAACGUUUGUAGCCGGUUUGGUAAAUGCCUGGGUAAAUCGUGUAGCUUAACUAUACGAAUUCCGGGUAGACUGCUAAACUUGAGACCGGGAGAGGCUAGAGGUACUUCUGGGGUAGAGGUGAAAUUCUGUAAUCCUAGGGGGACCACCAGUGGCGAAGGCGUCUAGCUAGAACGGGUCUGACGGUGAGGGACGAAGCCCUGGGGCGCAAACCGGAUUAGAUACCCGGGUAGUCCAGGGUGUAAACGCUGCUUGCUUGAUGUUAGUCGGGCUCUGAGCCCGAUUAGUGUCGGAGAGAAGUUGUUAAGCAAGCUGCCUGGGAAGUACGGUCGCAAGGCUGAAACUUAAAGGAAUUGGCGGGGGAGCACAGCAACGGGUGGAGCGUGGCGUUUAAUUGGAGUCAACGCCGGGG